UACGUAGGGGGCGAGCGUUGUCCGGAUUUACUGGGCGUAAAGAGCGCGUAGGCGGCUCGUUAAGUUGGCUGUAAAAGGCUCUGGCUUAACCAGGGUAAGUCGGCCAAAACUGGCGGGCUGGAGGACGGUAGAGGAAGGUGGAAUUCCUGGUGUAGUGGUGAAAUGCGUAGAGAUCAGGAGGAACACCGGUGGCGAAGGCGGCCUUCUGGGCCGUUCCUGACGCUGAGGCGCGAAAGCGUGGGGAGCGAACUGA
rnacentral:rRNA from 1 species